CCCCGCACGACUUCCAUCGCGGGGCAGGCGGCGACCAAGAGCGGGCGUCGGCGGUCGCAGGCGCCCGCAGGCCCUGGACCGCUCCUUAGGGCGGGGGGCACGAGACAAGCCGUUUGCGGGCCGGCGCUCGGAACCGGACAGUCACCCGCCGGGAGCGGAGGACCAGGGGCGGGGCGCGCGCGGCCGCCCGGCCGAGCCCAAACCCGCCCCGCCCCGCGCCGCCUCCGGGCUGGGCCGCCGCCCGGCCGCCCCCCGCACCACGCCCACCGGCGCCCGGGAAGGGACAGCGGGCGAGGCCGCCGCCCACCGCCCAGGCCGCGCCCGCCCCCACCGCAGCCGCCGCCGCCGCCUCACCGUCCGCGGUCGCUGCCUCACCGGCGCCCGACAGGAAGUGAGCGGCCCGCAAGCACUUCCGUUUCCGGAGGCGCGACCGGAAGCGCGGUGUUUGUGCAGUCCCGGCUGGCGGGCGGGCGGGCAAGGUUCCUGCCCAGACGGCGCCCCCUACGGCGGGGACCGUCGGGAUGCGGUCGCCGCCCACGGGCCGCCCCCUCGAGAGGGGACCGUCGGGAAGGGGUCCUUGCCCCCGGCGAGGCAGGGGGUGCGCUGGGAUUGGGGUCCCUGCCCCACUCGGCCCCUCUCCUUCUGACCCUUCCCGCCCUGUCCCCCGGUGUCCCCAGGCAGAGCCCACUGCACCUGCCGUCUCUCUGCUGGACCCCGUUCCCAGGCUCCCCCUCCGGUUCUCUGCCCGCUGUCCUGACCCACAUGAGGGCCACUGCUCGCCCCGCCUCCUUUGCGUCUCCUCCGCCGUCCACUCCCAGGCACCGAGUUCGCGGGCCGCGUCCGCCUCCCGCCGCGGCGUGGCCCCUGUCCCGCGUCUCGGGACCGGCCCGCCCGAGCUGCCCCUGCCACCCUGGAACCGAACACGCACCCGGAGCCCAGGAGCACAAACCGAGCAGCCCACGUGGGGACGACCGCAGUGGGACAGCCGUCCCUGAGUGUGCGGGCGCCGGUCCCUCACCGAGGCUGAGUGGGUGGGGCUGGGACGUGAACCGCCCCACGGGGCAGGGGUGCGGGCGGGAGGGGAGGCUGCGGAGGGCUGAGUUGGAGGGAAGGUGGGGCGGCCAGCCCCGGUGGCUGCGGAGCAGAGGCCGGCGGCCAGAGCUGGACUCUGAGUGGGAAGGAGGCCGACGAGCCCGGGGACCCCAGGUCCGCCCGCGCUGGGAGCGCCCCUCGCCCUCACUGACUGACAGCAAGUCUCUGACGUUAUCGCCUCCUGAGGGCCACCAGGAUCGGCCACCAGGACCGCGCAAGGGAGGAGGGAGGAGGGAGGCAGGAGCGCAGCGGGUGGGAGUCAGAGGGAAGGGAGGAGGGGCAGCAGUGCAGGGAGCCGGGCGCAGGUGA
rnacentral:lncRNA from 1 species